rnacentral:rRNA from 1 species
GUUGUUGGGUAGGGGAGCGUUCUGUAAGCCUGCGAAGGUGUGCUGUGAGGCAUGCUGGAGGUAUCAGAAGUGCGAAUGCUGACAUAAGUAACGAUAAAGCGGGUGAAAAGCCCGCUCGCCGGAAGACCAAGGGUUCCUGUCCAACGUUAAUCGGGGCAGGGUGAGUCGACCCCUAAGGCGAGGCCGAAAGGCGUAGUCGAUGGGAAACAGGUUAAUAUUCCUGUACUUGGUGUUACUGCGAAGGGGGGACGGAGAAGGCUAUGUUGGCCGGGCGACGGUUGUCCCGGUUUAAGCGUGUAGGCUGGUUUUCCAGGCAAAUCCGGAAAAUCAAGGCUGAGGCGUGAUGACGAGGCACUACGGUGCUGAAGCAACAAAUGCCCUGCUUCCAGGAAAAGCCUCUAAGCAUCAGGUAACAUCAAAUCGUACCCCAAACCGACACAGGUGGU